AAUGCAUAUAACAAAUGAUGCACAAGCAAUUGCUCACCAUCCCCCAGCUGAUACCCAGCUAGCCUUCGAGCAGCUGAAGAGAUCAAGAUGCACUCCCACUCCUUCAAAACUUUCUCAUGAUGUCACAUGGCAUGGAAUAUCCCUUUGGCCAGUUUAAGUCAUCUGUCCUAAUUCUGUUCCUUCACAAUUCCUUGGUUCCCUCAUUGUGUAUAGCCUUGGCUCUGUACAACAGUGCUUAGCAGCAGCUAUAAACAUUAGUGUGUUAUUGACAUUAUUUUUCUCCUAGAACCAGAACAUAGCAUCCUACCUGACUCUCUGAAGAAAACAAUUCCAUCCCAGCUGAAACUAAGGCACCUAGAAACGUCUUUUAAAUGCUGUGGCAGUGUCAUUGGAGCCCGUCAGACCUGGGACUCUGCUGAGAGAAAGGGCUGCAUGGUGCCAGGCAUGAAUCACACAGCACAUUGAUAAGGAUGGACAUUACUCAUCGGAUACCAUGGAGCCAGUGUGGCAGAACCGUCAUGGUCUAUUUUGAACUUGUUAUCUCACGCUCACUUCCUCGUACAUCAUGCAUUAGUCUCAACAGUAACCCACUAAAAUAACCCACAUCUCUUGUUUCUAGGAAAGAUCUUCUGCUGCUUACCAUCAUUCAGUGCGUUUACUUGUGAACAAGUCUGUAAGCAGGGUAGGACCCAGUGCAGCAUAAUCUAGGCCUUCAUGAUUUCAUAUCAUUUGGAGAUGAGACAGCUUUCCUGCUCCAACUCUUCAAGUAUUUUGAAUAUUUCAUAGCUUGUUUCUUGUCGUGAUCUCUUCAUCUUCCCUUAAAACGGGGCUAGAAUUUGUUUGCUUGGAUAUAUC
rnacentral:lncRNA from 1 species